rnacentral:lncRNA from 1 species
AGGCCUCCCAGUUUCUUCUAUCAGCAGGACUUCCGAGCUUCAGUAUGCGGCCAAAGUGUAGAUUGCUGGGCCCUGUCACCUUGACGAAUCAUUGGGUCAAGGAAAGAAAGAGUUGAGACUCCGCAUGAAUGUGUCCUCAGCUUAUCACUGUGUUCCUGGCCCCCAGCACAGCAUUCCUCUAGAUCCACGGAACAAGCCUGUAUACCUCAGGACUGGAGUGCAGAGAAUGGAUCAUGCCUACACAUUAGCUCAAAUUCCUCAAAAAAGGUUCUCCACAGGCCUGAGUGGUCCCUCAGAGCUCUCCUCUCAACCUCCCCACCUUCCUGAUGACUAGAUUCUACGACUGUAUUCCUGGGAUGUUCCAUCUUCAGAACGAGUGAUUCGUCUCCAACUCUG